rnacentral:sRNA from 1 species
AGUGAAUGAUUUUUUAGUAAAAUCUGGACAUUUUGAGUGUUUGCUUAUUUAAUUCUGAAUCUCAUUUAAACAUUCUAUUUUAUUUUUUUAAGUGUCACUUUUAUUACAUUUUUGUGUGUGUGUGUGUGUGGGGGGGUACCAGGGAUUGAACUCAGGGGCACUCAAUCACUGAGCAACAUCCCUAGCCCUA